rnacentral:tRNA from 1 species
GGGGGAUUAGCUCAGUUGGCUAGAGCGCCUGCCUUGCAAGCAGGAGGUCAUCGGUUCGAGCCCGAUAUUCUCCACCA